rnacentral:misc_RNA from 1 species
CAUUAAGUAAUAAAUCUAUUAAUUUCAUUGCCAUUAAUUUCAUGAUCAGACAAAUAAAUCUAUGAAAGUUGCCAAAGAUGUUCAAAUCAGAACCAACAAUAUUUUCCUAUCAGAUUGACAAGCACACAAUUCUCAGUGCUAAAACUGCAAAAAUUUAACUGUCCACGAAUUAUAAGAACAUCAACUUACCAAAGAAAACAUUGAACAAAUUAAAAAUUUCUUAACUCAGGGGAAGCACCUACAAAAAUUAAAAUCUUUUGCAUUCUAUUUACACCGAAAUAAUAAAUUACCAAUUUGUAAAGGAUAAUUAUAAUAAUAAUUAAAAAAAAAAAACUUGCUAAGUUCAG